GAUGAACGCUGGCGGCGUGCCUAAUACAUGCAAGUCGAGCGAACAGACGAGGAGCUUGCUCCUCUGACGUUAGCGGCGGACGGGUGAGUAACAAGUGGAUAACCUACCUAUAAGACUGGGAUAAAUUCGGGAAACCGGAGCUAAUACCGGAUAAUAUAUUGAACCGCAUGGUUCAAUAGUGAAAGACGGUUUUGCUGGCACUUAUAGAUGGAUCCGCGCCGCAUUAGCUAGUUGGUAAGGUAACGGCUUACCAAGGCAACGAUGCGUAGCCGACCUGAGCGGGUGAUCGGCCACCCUGGAACUUAGACACGGUCCAGACUCCUACGGGAGGCAGCAGUCUGGAAUCUUCCGCAAUGGGCGAAAGCUUUACGGAGCAACGCCGCGUGAGUGAUGAAGGUCUUCGGAUCGUAAAACUCUGUUAUUAGGGAAGAACAAAUGUGUAAGUAACUAUGCACGUCUUGACGGUACCUAAUCAGAAAGCCACGGCUAACUACGUG
rnacentral:rRNA from 1 species